UACGUCCACAUCAAGAUGAAAUACCAAUUCCCGCCAGAUUGCCGAAGUUAAGCAAUGUCGAGCUUGGUCAGUACCUAGAUGGCAGACCGCUUGGAAAUAUGAGGUACUGCAUGC